CCUACGGGAGGCAGCAGUGAGGAAUAUUGGUCAAUGGACGAGAGUCUGAACCAGCCAAGUAGCGUGAAGGAUGACUGCCCUAUGGGUUGUAAACUUCUUUUGUCAAGGGACAAAAUCAGGCUCGAGAGCCUGACCGAGGGUACUUGAAGAAAAAGCAUCGGCUAACUCCGUGCCAGCAGCCGCGGUAAUACGGAGGAUGCGAGCGUUAUCCGGAUUUAUUGGGUUUAAAGGGUGUGUAGGCGGGCUGUUAAGUCAGCGGUAAAAGCCCGGGGCUCAACCCCGGCGAGCCGUUGAAACUGGCUGUCUUGAGAUGUCGAGAGGUAUGCGGAAUGCGCAGUGUAGCGGUGAAAUGCUUAGAUAUUGCGCAGAACUCCGAUUGCGAAGGCAGCAUACCGGCGGCGAUCUGACGCUGAGGCACGAAAGCGUGGGUAUCGAACAGGAUUAGAUACCCGUGUAGUC
rnacentral:rRNA from 1 species